rnacentral:rRNA from 1 species
UGGGGAAUAUUGGACAAUGGGGGAAACCCUGAUCCAGCAAUGCCGCGGGAGUGAAGAAGGCCUUAGGGUUGUAAAGCUCUUUCGCCCGCGAAGAUAAUGACGGUAGCGGGAGAAGAAGCCCCGGCUAACUCCGUGCCAGCAGCCGCGGUAAUACGGAGGGGGCUAGCGUUGUUCGGAAUUACUGGGCGUAAAGCGUACGUAGGCGGAUGCGCAAGUUGGGGGUGAAAUCCCGGGGCUUAACCUCGGAAUUGCCCUCAAAACUGCACGUCUUGAGACCUAGAGAGGUAAGGGGAAUUCCUAGUGUAGAGGUGAAAUUCGUAGAUAUUAGGAAGAAC